GAUGAACGCUGGCGGCGUGCCUAAUACAUGCAGGUCGAGCGAACGGACGAGAAGCUUGCUUCUCUGAUGUUAGCGGCGGACGGGCGAGUAACACGUGGAUAACCUACCUAUAAGACUGGGAUAACUUCGGGAAACCGGAGCUAAUACCGGAUAAUAUUUUGAACCGCAUGGUUCAAAAGUGAAAGACGGUCUUGCUGUCACUUAUAGAUGGAUCCGCGCUGCAUUAGCUAGUUGGUAAGGUAACGGCUUACCAAGGCAACGAUGCAUAGCCGACCUGAGAGGGUGAUCGGCCACACUGGAACUGAGACACGGUCCAGACUCCUACGGGAGGCAGCAGUAGGGAAUCUUCCGCAAUGGGCGAAAGCCUGACGGAGCAACGCCGCGUGAGUGAUGAAGGUCUUCGGAUCGUAAAACUCUGUUAUUAGGGAAGAACAUAUGUGUAAGUAACUGUGCACAUCUUGACGGUACCUAAUCAGAAAGCCACGGCUAACUACGUG
rnacentral:rRNA from 1 species